GUCGGUAAAACUCGUGCCAGCCACCGCGGUUAUACGAGAGGCCCAAGUUGAUGGAUUCCGGCGUAAAGAGUGGUUAAGAUAAAUCUGAAACUAAAGCCGAAUACUCUCAGAGCUGUUAUACGCCUCCGAGGGUAAGAAGCCCAAUCACGAAAGUGGCUUUAACAUUACUGAAUCCACGAAAGCUAUGACACAAACUGGGAUUAGAUACCCCACUAUG
rnacentral:rRNA from 1 species